rnacentral:rRNA from 1 species
GGCGAACGCUGGCGGCGUGCUUAACACAUGCAAGUCGAACGGAAAGGCCCUGCUUUUGUGGGGUGCUCGAGUGGCGAACGGGUGAGUAACACGUGAGUAACCUGCCCUUGACUUUGGGAUAACUUCAGGAAACUGGGGCUAAUACCGGAUAGGAGCUCCUGCUGCAUGGUGGGGGUUGGAAAGUUUCGGCGGUUGGGGAUGGACUCGCGGCUUAUCAGCUUGUUGGUGGGGUAGUGGCUUACCAAGGCUUUGACGGGUAGCCGGCCUGAGAGGGUGACCGGCCACAUUGGGACUGAGAUACGGACCAGACUCCUACGGGAGGCAGCAGUGGGGAAUAUUGCACAAUGGGCGGAAGCCUGAUGCAGCAACGCCGCGUGCGGGAUGACGGCCUUCGGGUUGUAAACCGCUUUCGCCUGUGACGAAGCGUGAGUGACGGUAAUGAGUAAAGAAGCACCGGCUAACUACGUG